UAAAAGAAACAUCCACUGUAUUUAUGAGUUUUCUCAUCUUUGAUGUGAAGCAGAGAGGAGGGUGGAGGAUGGAAAACUAGGGGGAGGCAGAAGAGAGUAACAGCACUGGGGCGGACAAAGUGGAGGACGAUGUAGGUGUAAAAGGAGCUGAGGAGAGGCGGCAGAACUGACACACAAAGGUGGAUGUUGUUUCAUUUCCAGGGAGAUGUUCUCCCAUGAGUCCUCUGCCUCCUCCAUGUACAUCCACAGAACAGCCGAACCCUGCAGCAUGUGGCCACUGAGGGACUGAUCUAGGUUCCGGCCUUCUGGUUUCCACACACCUGUGGAUAGUCAUGCACCUGAAACUGAUGACUUCCUAUUCUUUGCUGGAUAGUUCCUCCUACCACAGGUCUCUUGGUAAUUACCUGAGUUGGGAAUCUGGAGUGAAACAUCUGGAAACUGCCAGAGAGCUGUCUGUGUCUGGGGAGUCUGGGAGCAUCACUACUGCUUGAAUUCUUGUUGCUGGACAUUCCGCACUGCAAAUAAAUG